GACGAAGGAUGCAAGCGUUAUCCGGAUUCAUUGGGUUUAAAGGGAGCGUAGGUGGACUUGUAAGUCAGUGGUGAAAUCUUUGGGCUUAACCCAGAAACUGCCAUUGAUACUGCAGGUCUAGAGUACAGUUGCCGUUGGCGGAAUAUGACAUGUAGUGGUGAAAUACUUAGAUAUGUCAUAGAACACCGAUUGCGUAGGCAGCUAACGAAGCUGUAACUGACACUGAGGCUCGAAAGUGCGGGGAUCAAACAGG
rnacentral:rRNA from 1 species